CGCCCAGAUGUAACUCUUCCGUGCCAUAUCUGUCUGAAGAAGAAACCAGAUGAAUCACUGGUGUUUAUCAAGAGCAGCAAGCUCAAGCACCACUGUCGCCGACGUCAUCCUCGUUUUGAAUUUAAGUGUGAGUAUACCAAUUGUGACGUAUACUUUGAGAAUGCCGCUGACAAGGGACGGCACACGCACUAUGUCCAUCAGAAGUCACACGCUUGGUGGUGGAGCUUUUGAGGGUGCUUUUACAUAAAGCGAUAUAAGUAAUUCUAGAUGUAGAUACUCUUCUUGUCUAGCAAACUAAGCAUGAACCAGGUACGGUGCAGAACUUCAAAAUGACAUGCCACUGUUGGCCUAUUGCGAUCAGCCAUGGUGCCAAAAUCCCUGCCUGCACCUUUGGCUAUAUUCCGCUUUCUAGUUUUUCAUGGGAUUGGGAAUUGGUUACUAGUGAAGUAGAGCUGACCCCAGCGUCAGGAGGUAAAUGACCUGUUGAUUUGGCCAAUGAACUGUCAACACCAAACAAAGCAGUG